rnacentral:rRNA from 1 species
UGCAAGUCGAGCGCGAAAGCCACCUUCGGGUGGCGAGUAGAGCGGCGGACGGGUGAGUAACACGUAAUCAAGCUGCCCCUUGGACCGGGACAACCGCAGGAAACCGCGGCUAAUACCGGAUGGUCUUGCCGGAUCGCAUGAUCUGGCAAGUAAAUGGGUGGGAUCCUCCGGGACCACCUGCCGAGGGAGGUGAUUGCGUCCUAUCAGCUUGUUGGUGAGGUAACGGCUCACCAAGGCGGCGACGGGUAACAGGCCUGAGAGGGUGGUCUGUCACACUGGGACUGAGACACUGCCCAGACUCCUACGGGAGGCUGCAGUCGAGAAUCUUCCGCAAUGGGCGAAAGCCUGACGGAGCGACGCCGCGUGCAGGAUGAAGGUCUUCGGAUCGUAAACUGCUGUCACGGGUGAUGAAUGCGGUGAGGUGAACAGCCGAAUCGUUGACGUAAGCCCGAAAGGAAGCACCGGCUAACUCUGUGCCAGCAGCCGCGGUAAUACAGAGGGUGCAAACGUUGUUCGGAAUCACUGGGCAUAAAGCGCACGUAGGCGGUCAUGUAAGUGUGGAGUGAAAUCCCACGGCUCACCCGUGGAACUGCUCUGCAAACUGCAUGACUCGAGGACGGUAGGGGAGAGCGGAACUCUUGGUGGAGCGGUGAAAUGCGUAGAUAUC